GCUUUAAAGGAUAACAGCUCAUCCAUGGUCUUAGGACCAAAAACUCUUGGUGCAAAUCCAAGUGAAGCU
rnacentral:tRNA from 1 species